UCAAGGUAAAGGUACGAGAUAAACUCAAACUAAAGGUAAAGAUAAACUCACUUCAGGUAAAGAUAUGUUAAAACUCAAAUCAUUUAAAAGAUAACAGCAUAGGAGAUGACAACCAAGUUAAACAGACUGACUUACUGCUGAAUAUCAGAACGAUCCAAUUCUACAUGACACAUUCUAAUUUCAACCUAAGAGAUACUCUAGGAACAACUUAUAGAUAUUAAUAUAUUUUUGAGCCAAGUGAAAUGCCCAAGUCCAGGGUGAUCAGUCCUGAACCCACGCUAAACCCUGACACAGUAAGUAAGUGAAUGCAUAAGCUUUAUGGCCAUGGUCCACGAGCUCAUGCAACCGUCAAUCAAAGAAAAUAUUAUAGAAACGGUUUCCUAACUAUCCCUAUAAAUAUCUAUCUAACCCAGAAUUCAAGAUGGGGAAAAUUCCCAUUAUCCAUCCUGCACUCCUAUGAUAUAUAGUUUGGACUUUCAAGAGACAACCAACAGCAAAAUGAACAAGUCCAUAAACUAAGAUAUUAACCAACAUUAAGA
rnacentral:lncRNA from 1 species